AAAAUUUCCUUGAUCUAAUGGUUGGAGUUUUGACAGUUAUUUUAAAUUAUUGAAUGAGAUUUUAGUGGUUAUUACGAAGGCAAUAACCCAUCUAGACCAUUAGUUUGAAGACAAGUUUCAAUUUGAACCGUUGAAAUACAAUCAUGUCACAAAUAUUUUGAAAUCCGUCCUAUUUUAUAUACAGAUAGGCAGAGAAAAUAAGAAAUUUGCGCGGUCCCAAACUGUUUCUGAGAAACUAUUUCUCAAAAAUCAUAAAAAAAUAUAUGUUAUUCCUGUUGGGGUUUAACAUCGGAAGCACCCAAGACACCGAGAUUACGAACACAACCACACCAACCAAUUAGGAAGUUAUGAAAAAUAAAAUGGAAAGAGAGACACAAUAAUUUCCGUGUUCGGCAAUAACCGCUACAGCCACGGAGAUGAUCCGCGUUCUUCACCUAUGAGUAAAAUAGUACAAGUCUACUUUGAUCCUGAUAUCCCAUACCCAAUCCCUUAAUACACCCACUCAUCCGAACACACUCUCCACAAUAUAUAAACUUGUCCCAUUGCACACACUCUUCCUCUCUCUUUAUCUUUUCUUUCACUCCCUCUCUUAUAGCCUUCCAAGAGACGUCCCGAAGGAGCACUCUUUGAGGCAACCGCAAUCUAUGACCAUGACUCCGCAAUCUACAGCCAUGACAGCCGCCGCAAAUCAAGACCAUGACUAGCCUAAUCAAAGCUGAGAAGAACCAUUAAACCCCGGCCGCAAUAGAAGACUAUGACCCGCCGCAAUAGACGACUAUGACCCGCCGGUGCAAGAUAAUUAAAUCAAUUGUUGAAAUUAGAACCAUCCCAACAUCCGCACCUUGGUGAGAAUUUCAGUGCCCAUGACCGCACUCCACCAACUAAUACAAUGACUACAAACAACCACCCGAAUAAGAAUUUUAUUCGAAUCACACGACCAAAAACCACCAACAACACGUGUAGGCCAUCCCCGUGCAAAUUAUCAUCAAUUGUCACGCAAGAAGGACUCGACCCAUCCUCCUCUCUUCCAACGAGCUUUCAUCAACACCCUCACAUCCAUCGGCAACUUUGGAAACAUAACUUUGUCGUUGGCCCGCAAAAUACUCACACCUUAGGUACCCACUUCCUUGGUGCAGCCCCGUUUUCACAAACCUUCGUCGAGUAAAACAGUUUUGGCCAAUCAACCGUACAUCCUUCGCACUUCUCUCCUUUCAUUAGAACCUUGCCGCUGCGUGUGAUUUUUCAUGGCUCCACCCUCCAGCAAAAUACUUGCAUCCAAUUGGAGUCCAUCCGGCUAAGGGGAAAAUUAGAUUCCUUUGUACUUCGGGAGAUAAACCACACCACCCAAGUACGAACCUGCUCAUCAAAUAUUUUUAUCUUCACUUUCUUCCGACACCCCUUGAAUUUUACAUGGAGUUCCAUCGCCAAAAAUAGCGACCCCCAUCUCUUCUUGGAAUGUGUUCAAAAAUUCUUUUUUAAAAGCAAACAUGCAUAGUGCAAACCCGAAUCUAAAAUCCACUCAUCAUGAGAAGAGUGUUAAUACCUCAAGACUGUAAGGCAAUCUUCCAUCAUCUCCCGCUAAACCCACCAAAGAAUUGCAAGCUUAAAAGCGUCGUCGCCAUUCCUUCCCUUUAUCCUUCACAAAGGACAAUCACACGAUCAACGCUUUCACAUGACCAAAUUCUUUGCAAAGUAGCAUUGUACAACAAACCCUUUCCCCACUGGAACUAGAACUGACCCUUGCUCCUCCAGAUCUACCAUCAUAUUUCUUUCCCCGAUUCCCCUUUGACCCGCAAGAGGCUGGCACUUUCUCAUCCCCACACUUGACCUUUUUUUGAGUACAUAAAAUCAAUGACACUGCACUUGCUCCCAACUCACUGUAUCUUUCCCAUACAAAAGAGUUGUCACCAAGGUAUCAUACGAAUCCGGAAGAGAUGUAAGAAGCAAAAGGGCUUGUCUUCUUCAUCUAUUUUUACAUCAACUUUUUCGCACUGAUUAGGGAUGGCAAUUUAACCCGAAGACCCGAUACCGUCGGGCCCCGCCCCGUUUAGGGCGGUUUGAAAAAAAAAAUUAAAACCCGAUUAAUAAACGGGGCGGGGCGGGGGAGCCUCCUCCACCCCGAACCGCCCGAUUACCCGAUUAAUAUCUAAAAAAUUAAAAUUAAUCAAUAUUUUUUAAAAUAUAUCAUAAUAUCCUUAUUUUAUAUAUAUAAUACUACCCAUAUUAUAUAAAAAUAUAUAUAUAAUAAAAAAAUUACUAACGGGGCGGGGCGGGGGUGAGUUUUGGUAAACGGGGCGGGGGUGGGGGAGGAAUCCCACCCGAUAAUAAACGGGGCGGGGGUGGGGAGGCCCAACCCGCCCCAACCCGCCCGUUGCCAGCCUACAGCUGAUCUAAAUAACCAUUGAACACGUUCAUGUGCUCCAUGAACUCCCGCCUGCCUCCAUCUUUAGCCAUAUAAUUGUCGCUUCAGAUGCAAACUUGUUGGUCAAAUCUUGGCAAA
rnacentral:lncRNA from 1 species